AUUGAACGCUGGCGGCAGGCUUAACACAUGCAAGUCGAACGCGUGGCGGAGGGGUGAGUAAUGUGGGGGAAUGUCUGUUAUGGAGGGGGAACACUAGGGGAAAGUGUCGAACAUACCGCAUACCCUCGUAUGAGCACAGGUGGUAUUAGGUAGUUGGUGUGGUAAAGGCUCACAAAGCCGACGAUCUCUAGCUGGUCUGAGAGGAUGACCAGCCACACUGGAACUGAGACACGGCCCAGACUCCUACGGGAGGCAGCAGUGGGGAAUAUUGCGCAAUGGGGGCAACCUGACGCAGCCAUGCCGCGUGAAUGAAGAAGGCCUUCGGGUUGUAAAGUUCUUUCGGUAGCGAGGCGUUACCUACAGAAGAAGCACCGGCUAACUCCGUGCCAGCAGCCGCGGUAAUAC
rnacentral:rRNA from 1 species